rnacentral:rRNA from 1 species
UACGUAGGGUGCAAGCGUUGUCCGGAAUUACUGGGCGUAAAGCGCGCGUAGGCGGCUUUGUAAGUUAGAGGUGAAAGCCCGGAGCUCAACUCCGGAACUGCCUUUAAAACUGCAUCGCUUGAAUCCAGGAGAGGUGAGUGGAAUUCCGAGUGUAGAGGUGAAAUUCGUAGAUAUUCGGAAGAACACCAGUGGCGAAGGCGGCUCACUGGACUGGUAUUGACGCUGAGGUGCGAAAGCGUGGGGAGCAAACAGG